rnacentral:rRNA from 1 species
GAUGAACGCUGGCGGCGUGCCUAAUACAUGCAAGUCGAACGAGUGGCGAACGGGUGAGUAACACGUGGGAAACUACCCAUCAGAGGGGGAUAACACUUGGAAACAGGUGCUAAUACCGCAUACUGAUGGAUGGAACCGCGGUGCAUUAGCUAGUAGGUGGGGUAAAGGCUCACCUAGGCGACGAUCUCUAGCUGGUCUGAGAGGAUGAUCAGCCACACUGGGACUGAGACACGGCCCAGACUCCUACGGGAGGCAGCAGUGGGGAAUAUUGCACAAUGGGCGCAAGCCUGAUGCAGCCAUGCCGCGUGUAUGAAGAAGGCCUUAGGGUUGUAAAGUACUUUCAGCGGGGAGGCGUUACCCGCAGAAGAAGCACCGGCUAACUCCGUGCCAGCAGCCGCGGUAAUUC